rnacentral:rRNA from 1 species
AUUUAAAUACCUUAACGAGGAACAAUUAGAGGGCAAGUCUGGUGCCAGCAGCCGCGGUAAUUCCAGCUCUGAUAGUAUAUAUUAAAGUUGUUGCAGUUAAAAAGCUCGUAGUUGAAACUUGGGUGCGUAGGGGCGGUCUCUUUUAGAGUACUACCCUGAAACAUCUUUCUUUGGUGUAAACUUUCUAUUUAUUUAGGAAGUGUAAACCAAACAUUUACUUUGAAAAAAUUAGAGUGUUCAAAGCAGGCCUUUGCUCGAAUAUAUUAGCAUGGAAUAAUAGAAUAGGACGUAUGGUUCUAUUUUGUUGGUUUCUAGGACCGUCGUAAUGAUUAAUAGGGACGGUCGGGGGCAUCAGUAUUCAGUUGUCAGAGGUGAAAUUCUUGGAUUUACUGAAGACUAACUACUGCGAAAGCAUUUGCCAAGGACGUUUUCAUUAAUCAAGAACGAAAGUUAGGGGAUCGAAGACGAUCAGAUACCGUCGUAGUCUUAACCGUAAACUAUGCCGACUAGGGAUCGGAGGGCGUUAUAAUAACCUCUCCGGCACCUUACGAGAAAUCAAAGUUUUUGGGUUCUGGGGGGAGUAUGGUUGCAAGGCUGAAACUUAAAGGAAUUGACGGAAGGGCACCACCAGGAGUGGAGCCUGCGGCUUAAUUUGACCCAACACGGGGAAACUCACCAGGUCCAGACACAAUAAGGAUUGACAGAUUGAGAGCUCUUUCAUGAUUUUGUGGGUGGUGGUGCAUGGCCGUUCUUAGUUGGUGGAGUGAUUUGUCUGCUUAAUUGCGAUAACGAACGAGACCUUAACCUGCUAAAUAGCUGUAACAAUAGAUUAUUGUUUUGACAGCUUCUUAGAGGGACUAUCGAUUUUCAAGUCGAUGGAAGUUUGAGGCAAUAACAGGUCUGUGAUGCCCUUAGACGUUCUGGGCCGCACGCGCGCUACACUGACGGAGCCAGCGAGUCUAACCUGUGCCGAGAGGUAUGGGUAACCUUGUGAAACUCCGUCGUGCUGGGGAUAGAGCAUUGCAAUUAUUGCUCUUCAACGAGGAAUUCCUAGUAAGCGCAAGUCAUCAGCUUGCGUUGAUUACGUCCCUGCCCUUUGUACACACCGCCCGUCGCUACUACCGAUUGAAUGGCUUAGUGAGGCUUCCGGAUUGAUUAACUGGAGAGGGCAACUUUUCUGGUUGAACGAGAAGCUAGUCAAACUUGGUCAUUUAGA